AUUGAUUUCGAUUUUUUCAAAUCAGCCAGAGUAAAGCACUUCCUUUUUAUUCCGAUGCAGCCUUUCCAAUGAUUUUGCAGUUUCAGUCCACCAUUUCUAAAUGGGAUCAUCAACACCCAUUACAGACAUUACUCCAUGGAUUCCUACCAACCUCCAAGUGUCUUCAACUUCUGGACAACUAAGUAAAUAGUGGAGGUUCAGAUUUCGAUAACGGUUUGGCAACUGCUCUAUUGGGAGAUGGAAGAACAGAUAAGCUAUGUCACAUGCACUAGAGACUGAAUAGCAACCUGACUUCUCUCUUGACCAAGUAUUUUCUGGCUGAAAUCGAGGGACCCGAGCAAAAAUCUGAUUCAGAGGCUGACAAAGGACUGCAGAUGCUGUUGGAUUCUGACCUCCCUGCACUCGAAGUGGAUUUUCUAGAGCUACAGAACUUCAAAUGACGCGCUCUUAAUUGCGUUGGAAAGUAGAAAUCCAAGGCUUUUCCGCAAUAUAUAAUAGUCCACACUUUACGCGAGUUUUGACGACGUAAAAUGGCGUCAAAACGCCAGUUCUCUGCCCUUUUCUGGCGUCAAAACGUCAGAACUGACAUAAAAGUUGGAGUUAAACGCCCAAACUGGCACCAAAGCUGGUGUUUAACUCCAAGGAAGACCUCUACACGUGAAAGCUUCAAUGCUCAGCCCAAGCACACACCAAGUAGGCCCGGAAGUAGAUUUCUGCAUCACUUACUUAUUUCUGUAAACCCUAGUAACCAGUUUAGUAUAAAUAGAACUUUUUACUAUUGUAUUUUCAUCUUGGAAUCUUGGCAUCUAUCUUUGAUCAGUUUAUGCGAUCUCAGACAUUGGGGGCUAGCCUCACGGCCAUGCCUAGACCUUGUUCUUAUGUAUUUUCAACGGUGGAGUUUUUACACACCAUAGAUUAAGGUGUGGAGCUCUGUUGUUCCUCGAGUAUUAAUGCAAAGUACUAUUAUUUUCUAUUCAAUUCAUGCUUAUUAUCAUUCUAAGAUAUUCGCUUGCACUUCAACAUGAUGAAUGUGAUGAUCUGUGACACUCAUCAUUAUUCUCAACCUAUGAACGCGUGCCUGACAACCACUUCCGUUCUACCUUAGAUCGAGCGUAUAUCUCUUAGCCUCCAUUCCGAAAGAUCGGAGACUUCGUGGUAUAAGCUAGAAUUAUUGGCAGCCAUUCCUGAGAUCUGAAAAAUCUAAACUUUGUCUGUGGUAUUCCGAAUAGGAUCUAGGAAGGGAUGACUGUGACGAGCUUCAAACUCGCGAGUGUUGGGCGUAGUGACAGACGCAAAAGGAUCACUGGAUUCUAUUCCAAUAUGAUCGAGAACCGACAGAUGAUUAGCCGUGCGGUGACAGCGCAUUUGGACCAUUUUCACUGAGAAGAUAGGAAGUAGCCAUUGACAACGGUGAUGCCCAACAUACAGCUUGCCAUGGAAAGGAGUAAGAAGGAUUGGAUGAAGGCAGUAGGAAAGCAGAGAUUCAAGAGGGAUAAAGCAUCUCCAUACACUUAUCUGAAAUUCCCAUCUAUGAUUUACAUAAGUAUUUUUAUCUUUAUUUUAUGUUUAUUUAUCUUUUAAUUAUUAAACUCCAUAACCAUUUGAAUCUGCCUGACUGAGAUUUACAAGGUGACCAUAGCUUGCUUCAAGCCGACAAUCUCCGUGGGAUCGACCCUUACUCACGUAAGGUUUAUUACUUGGACGACCCAGUGCACUUGCUGGUUAGUUGUGCAAAGUUGUGAAAAAGAGUUGAGAUUACAAUUGUGCAUACCAAGUUGUUGGCGCCAUUGUGUAUCACAAUUUCGUGCACCAAGUUUUUGGCGCCGUUGCCGGGGAUUGUUCGAGUUUGGACAA